GACGAACCGUGCGAACGUUGUUCGGAGUUACUGGGCGUAAAGCGUGCGUAGGCGGUGUCUUAAGUUUGUUGUGAAAUCUCCCGGCUUAACCGGGAGGGUGCGGCGAAUACUGAGAUGCUGGAGUGCGGGAGAGGUAAGCGGAAUUCCUGGUGUAGCGGUGAGAUGCGUAGAUAUCAGGAGGAACACCUGCGGUGUAGACGGCUUACUGGACCGUAACUGACGCUGAGGCACGAAAGCGUGGGUAGCAGACAGG
rnacentral:rRNA from 1 species